CAGUCGCCGCGGGAAUACGUAGGGUGCAAGCGUUACUCGGAAUUACUGGGCGUAAAGCGUGCGUAGGUGGUGGUUUAAGUCCGUUGUGAAAUCCCCGGGCUCAACCUGGGAAUGGCAAUGGAUACUGGCAAGCUAGAGUGUGUCAGAGGAUGGUGGAAUUUCCGGUGUAGCAGUGAAAUGCGUAGAGAUCGGAAGGAACAUCUGUGGCGAAGGCGACUAUCUGGGCCAACACUGACACUGAGGCACGAAAGCGUGGGGAGCAAACAGGAUUAGAUACCCCCGUAGUCCCUGUCUCUUAUAC
rnacentral:rRNA from 1 species